rnacentral:rRNA from 1 species
AGAGUUUGAUCAUGGCUCAGAACGAACGCUGGCGGCAUGCCUAACACAUGCAAGUCGAACGCUUUUGGGGCUUCGGCCUCAAGGGAGUGGCGCACGGGUGAGUAGCGCGUGGGAACCUGCCUUUUUGUGGGGGAUAACCGAGGGAAACUUCGGCUAAUACCGCAUGCGCCGGGAGCGAUCCCGGGAAAGAUUUUAUCGCAGGAAGAGGGGCCCGCGUCGGAUUAGCUAGUUGGUGGGGUAACGGCCUACCAAGGCACCGAUCCGUAGCUGGUCUGAGAGGAUGAUCAGCCACACUGGGACUGAGACACGGCCCAGACUCCUACGGGAGGCAGCAGUGGGGAAUAUUGGACAAUGGGCGCAAGCCUGAUCCAGCAAUGCCGCGUGAGUGAUGAAGGCCUUAGGGUUGUAAAGCUCUUUCGCCCGCGACGAUGAUGACGGUAGCGGGAGAAGAAGCCCCGGCUAACUUCGUGCCAGCAGCCGCGGUA